CGAGAGUUUGUAACACCCGAAGUCGGUGGGGUAACCUUUUUGGAGCCAGCCGCCUAAGGUGGGACAGAUGAUUGGGGUGAAGUCGUAACAAGGUAGCCGUAUCGGAAGGUGCGGCUGGAUCACCUCCUUUCUAUGGAGA
rnacentral:rRNA from 1 species